rnacentral:tRNA from 1 species
AUUCAUUUUUCAAUCCAUUUGGCAAUAACAAACGUAUUAUGUAUGAGUAAUCUGUGUUGAUCUCACUAAAGUUCAUAUCGAUAU